rnacentral:rRNA from 1 species
CCCUUAGAGUUUGAUCCUGGCUCAGGACGAACGCUGGCGGCGUGCCUAAUACAUGCAAGUCGAGCGAGCUUGCCUAGAUGAAUUUGGUGCUUGCACCAAAUGAAACUAGAUACAAGCGAGCGGCGGACGGGUGAGUAACACGUGGGUAACCUGCCCAAGAGACCGGGAUAACACCUGGAAACAGAUGCUAAUACCGGAUAACAACACUAGACGCAUGUCUAGAGUUUAAAAGAUGGUUCUGCUAUCACUCUUGGAUGGACCUGCGGUGCAUUAGCUAGUUGGUAAGGUAACGGCUUACCAAGGCAAUGGUGCAUAGCCGAGUUGAGAGACUGAUCGGCCACAUUGGGACUGAGACACGGCCCAAACUCCUACGGGAGGCAGCAGUAGGGAAUCUUCCACAAUGGACGCAAGUCUGAUGGAGCAACGCCGCGUGAGUGAAGAAGGGUUUCGGCUCGUAAAGCUCUGUUGGUAGUGAAGAAAGAUAGAGG